CUCUGUUGUUCCACCAGCAGCAGAAUCCCUCUCUGUGAUGAAUACACACAUCACCUCACGCAUGGCUGGACUACUGCUGCCUGUCCACAGCCUCACCACAGUCAGUGGCCUGAGUUUAGGUGUGGAGCCCUUGGAACUGAUUAGGUCUGUGUGCCCUUUACCUGCAGCCAGACUCCUUCACCCCGCAGGCUUGUUCCAGAUGUGCCAUUAAACGCUUGUAUGAUGUCCAUCUGAAGGACUUAUUGGAAAAUCGCAUGUCUUUAUUACAUUGUAAUUACAUGUGUAAGUACAGUGUUUGGAUGGAUCAGUUGAAUUAUUAUAUAAUACACAGGGAAUUGCUGGCCUCUCAGCGAAAGUGUUUGUUUGUGUCCGAAUGGCACCCUUCUAUUUAUAGUGGACUACUUUUGACUAGGGUCCAUACAGGUCUCUGGUCAAAAGUAGUGCACUACACAGGGAGUAAUGUGCCAUUUGGGACUUAACCUGUAUGUUUUGUGAUGCCUCCCCCACUUCAGUGAGAAGAUUCGCUGGGAAUCCUUGGCCAGCUGGACCCUCCAACCUGUUCCACAGCUUUCCCCCACAGGGAAAUCUUAUAGUAGCCUGGCAGUGUUGGCUGUGGCCAGAGGCAACAAGGAUGGAUCUUGACUUAUGUCCAAUGAACUUCAGAAGCUGGAAAAAAGGGCAUCGAUGUG